rnacentral:rRNA from 1 species
UACGUAGGGUGCAAGCGUUGUCCGGAAUUAUUGGGCGUAAAGAGCUCGUAGGCGGUCUGUCACGUCGGCUGUGAAAACUCGGGGCUCAACCCCGAGCCUGCAGUCGAUACGGGCAGACUAGAGUCCGGCAGGGGAGACUGGAAUUUCUGGUGUAGCGGUGAAAUGCGCAGAUAUCAGGAGGAACACCGGUGGCGAAGGCGGGUCUCUGGGCCGGAACUGACGCUGAGGAGCGAAAGCGUGGGGAGCGAACAGG